GUAAUUAAUUUCUUACUCAGCAAAUUUCGCUCAAUGGUCACUGAAAUGGAAAGGGAUAGUAGCUAUUGUUAACCUUCGUUUAUUAAACAAGUUCUAUCCUUUGAAUCCAUUACUAGCCUUAAAAAGUACCGAAAUUAUACAUAUUCCUAUGCUCAAUUUUCUAGCUGUGUUUUGUAUUAGUUGGUAUGCACAGUGUAAAUCUGUAUCAUCAUUGCAGUUAAAAGGUGCACGCUGGAAAUUUCUGAAAUACCAAAGAUUCCAACUGCAGUUAUCUUUCAGAAUAAUUUUAUAAAAAAAUAAAUAAUAACUACAUAAACA
rnacentral:misc_RNA from 1 species